rnacentral:lncRNA from 1 species
GUAGGCCCGUGCCCCUGCUCGCGCUGCAGCCCGUGGAAGGGUUCCGUCCAGCGUAUCCUUCAGAUCUUGCUGUAGGCCUCUGGUGUCUGUGCGCGCGCGGCAGGGGCGGCGGCGGCGACGGCCGGAGGUGUACGGUCAGCGGGUUGCGGAGGAUCGUGCGGGUCGCAAAGGGAAGCCGAGUGCUCCUGCGGCUCCCAGACUGCAACCAGUUGCUUCCUCUACUGAAGUCUUGAAACCCCUGAAAGUCAUCCCUGAGGUUUGAAGUUAACUUCUUCUACACCCUGUUAAUGUUGAUAUUUUGACCUCCUUCCAUGAAUCACAAAUGUUCUUAAUGGCAUCUAGAAUGGUGUAAAUCCAAACCGCUUCCAACUCAAGGCAAGUAACAGCCCACGGUGUUCUGGCAGGAAAACAUCAGCUAAGAAAGGAAACUGGGUCCUAUGGCUUGGACUUUCCAACUCUGACAGACCGGCAGGACAGAAACAACUGGUUCAGGAGCCCUUGCCAGCCUCUAGAGAAAUCCCAGAACACUCAGCCCUGAUGACACAUUAAUACCCUGCACAUAUUGGAGACUGCUGACCACGCAUACUCACCAAGCCACAGACUUGUCUUCCACAAGCACGUUCUUACCUCAGCCACAAAGUGCCCAAGCCACAUGUACUAAAGGUUGAAAUCAGAGACAUGUACAGGGUAUUAAACAGAUACCAAGGGGAACAGUUAACUUGAAUAUAGCUUGAAUAGAAAGUCAAAAUCAGCAACAAGUCUACAAUCCAGUGCUGAUAUCAGAUACAAGCUUCAAGGACAACUUUCUGUGUAUGUUUUUUUUUUUUUUUUUGAGACGUAGUCUCGCCCUGUUGCCCAGGCUGGAGUGCAGUGGUGCAAUCUCGGCUCACCACAACCUCUGCCUCCCAGGUUCAAGUGAUUCUCCUGCCUCAGCCUCCCCAGUAGCUGGGAUUAUAGGCGAAUGCCACCAUGCCUGGCUAAUUUUUGUAUUUUUAGUAGAGACGGGGUUUCAGCAUGUUGGCCAGGCCGGUCUCAAACUCCUGACCUUGUGAUCCACCCGUCUCGGCCUCCCAAAGUGCUGGGAUUAUAGGCGUGAGCCACCACUUCUGGCCACAAAUUUCUUUUUGAAGGCUUAUUCCAGUUUUGUGAGGCUAGCAUGAGGUGUAUGCAUUUGCCAGGGGCAAAUUUAUACUGCUGAAUUAACCCAUGCAACAAAUGCUGCACAUCUGCUCGCAGUCCAUUUAGAGGCAUUUGCGGUAGACAAUGGAGGGGCCAGACUCAUCAUACAUACCUGAUGGCUAACCCACAUGCUUGCAGUCCAUUUAGAGGCAUUUGCAGUGGAUGAUGGAGGGGCCACAUACCUAAUUGCUAAUCCACAUCUGCUGGAAGGUGGACAGUGAGGCCAGGAUGGAACCACCAAUCCACACCGAGUACUUGUGCUCUGGGGGCAUGAUGAACUUGAUCUUCAUGGUGCUGGAUGCCAGCGUGGUGAUGCCAGGGCACAUGGUGGUGCUGCUGGACAGCACUGUGUUGGCGUACAGGUCUUUGCGGAUGUCCACGUCACACUUCAUGAUGGAGUUGAAGGUGGUCUUGUGGAUGCCGCAGGAUUCCAUGCCCAAGAAGGAAGGCUGGAACAGCACCUGCAGACACCAGAACCACUUGUUGCCGAUGGUGAUGACCUGACCUGGCCAUCAGGCAGCUCAUAGCUCUUCUCCAGGGAGGAGGAGGAUGUGGCAGUGGCCAUCUCCUGCUCGAAGUCCAGGGCGAUGUAGCACACCUUCUCGUUGAUGUCGCGCACAAUCUCCUGCUUGGCCGUGAUGGUGAAGCUUGGUGAGGAUCUUCAUGAGGUAGUUGGUCAGGUCCUGGCCAGCCAGGUCCAGACGCAGGAUGGCGUGGUGGGAGGGCAUGGCCCUCGUAGAUGGGUACCAUGUAGGUGGCCCUGUCUCCAGAGUCCAUGACAGUGCCAGUGAUGCGCCCAGAGGCUUAGAGGGACAACACGGCCUGGAUGGCCACAUACAUGGCUGGGGUGUUGAAGGUCUCAAACAUGAUCUGAGUCAUCUUUUCUCUGUUGGCCUUGGGGUUCGAGGGGCCUCGGCCAACAGCACCGGGUGCUUCUCUGGGGUCAUGCACAGCUCGUUGUAGAAGGUGUGGUGCCAGAUCUUCUCCAUGUCAUCCCAGAUGGUGAUGAUGCCAUGCUCGAUAGGGUACUUCAGGGUCAGGAUGUCGUGCUUGCUCUGGGCCUCAUGGCCCAUGUAGGAGUCCUUCUGGCCCAUGCCCACCAUCACACCCUGGUGCCGGGGUCACCUGAUGAUGGAGGGGAACACAGCUCAGGGGCCAUCCAUCCCCAGCAAAGCCAGCUUUGCACAUGCCAGAGCCAUUGUCAAUGAUGAGCGCGGCGAUCUCUAUUUCCAUUGCAACCUGUGGAAGAGCAGGGCGGUGGAGCCAUGGGAAGACACGGUGUGGGGGCUGGUGGCAGCAAGUGACUGUAUUACUGGAUUUUGAAGUUAACAAUUAGCCAAAUACUGAUUUUUGAUGGAAAUUUAUUCUUAAUUAUUUUCUUUUAGAAAAAAAUAGGAAAACAUAUAACAAUAGAAUUACUUAAUUAAAUUGAUUCCUUGGCUGGGUGGCUACGCCUGUAAUCCUAGCACUUUAUGAGGCCGAGGAGGGUGGAUUAGUUGAGGCCAGGAGUUCGAGACCAGCUUGGGAAACAUGGCGAAACCCCAUUUCUACUAAAAAUUCAAAAAUCAGCCAAGCAUGGUGGUGCGUGCCUGUAGUCCCAGCUACCCAGGAGGCUGAGGCAUGAGAAUUGCCUGAGCUUAGGAGGCAGAGAUUGCAGUGAGCCGAGAUUGUGCCACUGCACUCCAGCCUGGCAGUAGAACCAGACCCUGUCUCAAAAACAAAAAAUCUGUCUAGGCUGGGCAUGGUGGCUCACGCUUGUAAUCCCAGCACUUUGGGAGGCUGAGGCAAGUGGAUCACCAGAGGUCAGGAGUUUGAGACCAACCUGGCCAACAUGGUGAAACCCCGUCUCUCCUAAAAAUACAAAAAUUAGCCGGGCAUGGUGGUACAUGCCUAUAAUCCCAGCUACUUGGGAGGCUGAGGCAGGAGAGUGGCUUGAACCUGAGAGGCGGAGGUCGCAGUCAGCUUAGAUUGCACCACUGUAAAGAAAAGAAAAAAAAAAGUCCAUACAUGAGUGUAGGGAAUACUUUGUGAAUUUUUAGACUUUUUAUUAACCACCAGAGAAUAUUUACUACACCUGGGUGUUUUUUAAAGAAUACUGUUCUUAUUCUGAAAUAAGUAGACCGUUUUGCAUAUGAUCAGCCAGUGUCCCUUACACAAUUUAUUUCAUGUAAUUUUCAUCUUUCCCAUGUAAAUCUCAGUUCAGCCACUUAGUGGAUCCAAGUCUCCAGGCAGCUGCCUUAGUCGUUCUGUGUCUCAAGUACUUUUAAUCCAUAUUGUACAGUAAGGUGAAUUUAUAGAUUUCAAGAUCUAUAAAUUCUAUAGAUCUAUAGGUGAAUUUGGGGUGGAGCCAAGAUGGCCGAAUAGGAACAGCUCCAGUCUGCAGCUCCCAGCAUGAGCGAUGCAGAAGACGGGUGAUUUCUGAACUUCCAACUGAGGUACCAGGUUCAUCUCACUGGGGAGUGUCUGACAGUGGGUGCAGGACAGUGGGUACAGUGCACUGAGCGUGAGCCAAAGCAGGGCGAGGCAUUGCCUCACUCGGGAAGCACAAGGGGUCAGGGAAUUCCCUUUCCUAGUCAAAGAAAGGGGUGACAGAUGGCAUCUGGAAAAUCGGGUCACUCCCACCCUAAUACUGCGCUUUUCCAACAGUCUUAGCAAAUAGCUCACCAGGAGAUUAUAUCCCGCCCCUGGCUCGGAGGGUCCUACGCCCACAGAUUCUCGCUCAUUGCUAGCACAGCAGUCUGAGCUCAAACUGCAAGGUGGCAGCGAGGCUGGGGGAGGGGCACCCGCCAUUGCUGAGGCUUGAGUAGGUAAAGCGGCCCGGAAGCUCGAACUGGGUGGAGCCCACUGCAGCUCAAGGAGGCCUGCCUGUCUCUGUAGACUCCACCUCUGGGGGCAGGGCAUUGCCAAACAAAAGGCAGCAGAAUCCUCUGCAGACUUAAAUGUCCCUGUCUGACAGCUUUGAAGAGAGUAGUGGUUCUCCCAGCACGCAGCUGGAGAUCUGAGAAUGGACAGACUGCCUCCUCAAGUGGGUCCCUGACCCCCGAGUAGCCUAACUGGGAGGCACCCCCCAGUAGGGGCAGACAGACACCUCACACGGCCGGGUACUUCUCUGAGACAAAACUUCCAGAGGAAUGAUCAGGCAGCAACAUUUGCUGUUCACCAAUAUCUGCUGUUCUGCAGCCUCUGCUGCUGAUACCCAGGCAAACAGGGUCUGGAGUGGACCUCCAGCAAACUCCAACAUUCCUACAGCUGAGGGUCCUGAUUGUUAGAAGGAAAACUAACAAACAGAAAGGACAUCCACACCAAAACCCCAUCUGUAUGUCACCAUCAUCAAAGACCAAAGGUAGAUAAAACCACAAAGAUGGGGAAAAAACAGAGCAGAAAAAACGGAAAUUCUAAAAAUCAGAGUGCCUAUCCUCCUCCAAAGGAACACAGCUCCUCACCAGCAAUGGAACAAAGCUGGAUGGAGAAUGACGAGUUGAGAGAAGAAGGCUUCAGACAAUCAAACUACUCCAAGCUAAAGGAGGAAGUUCGAACCAAUGGCAAAGAAGUUAAAAACCUUGAAAAAAGAUUAGACAAAUCACUAACUAGAAUAACCAAUGCAGAGAAGUCCUUAAAGGACCUGAUGGAGCUGAAAACCACAGCACAAGAACUAUCUGAUGAAUGCACAAGCCUCAGUAGCCGAUUCGAUCAACUGGAAGAAAGGGUAUCAGUGAUGGAAGAUCAAAUGAAUGAAAUGAAGCGAGAAGAGAAGUUUAGAGAAAAAAGAAUAAAAAGAAACAAAGCCUCCAAGAAAUAUGGGACUAUGUGAAAAGACCAAAUCUACGUCUGAUUGGUGUACCUGAAAGUGACGGGGAGAAUGGAACCAAGUUGGAAAACACUCUGCAGGAUAUUAUCCAGGAGAACUUCCCCAAUCUAGCAAGGCAGGCCAACAUUCAAACACCACAAAGGUACUCCUCGAGAAGAGCAACUCCAAGACACAUAAUUGUCAGAUUCACCAAAGUUGAAAUGAAGGAAAAGAUGUUAAGGGCAGCCAGAGAGAAAGGUCGGGUUACCCACAAAGGGAAGCCCAUCAGACUAACAGCUGAUCUCUUGGCAGAAACUCUACAAGCCAGAAGAGAGUGGGGGCCAACAUUCAACAUUCUUAAAAGAAUUUUCAACCCAGAAUUUCAUAUUCAGCCAAACUAAGCUUCAGAAGUGAAGGAGAAAUAAAAUCCUUUACAGACAAGCAAAUGCUGAGAGAUUUUGUCACCACCAAGCCUGCCCUAAAAGAGCUCCUGAAGGAAGCACUAAACAUGGAAAGGAACAACUGGUACCAGCCACUGCAAAAACAUGCCAAAUUGUAAAGACCAUUGAGGCUAGGAAGAACCUGCAUCAACCAACGAGCAAAAUAACCAGCUAACAUCAUAAUGACAGGAUCGAAUUCACACAUAACAAUACUAACCUUAAAUGUAACUGGGCUAAAUGCUCCAAUUAAAAGACACAGACUGGCAAAUUGGAUAAAGAGUCAAGACCCAUCAGUGUGCUGUAUUCAGGAAACCCAUCUCACCUGCAGAGACACACAUAGGCUCAAAAUAAAGGGAUGGAGGAAGACCUACGAAGCAAAUGGAAAACAAAAAAAGGCAGGGGUUGCAAUCCUAGUCUCAUAUAAAACAGACUUUAAACGAACAAAGAUCAAAGGAGACAAAGAAGGCCAUUACAUAAUGGUGAAGGGAUCAGUUCAACAAGAAGAGCUAACUAUCCUAAAUAUAUAUGCACCCAAUACAAGAGCACCUAGAUUCAUAAAGCAAGUCCUUAGAGACCUACAAAGAGACUUAGACUCCCACACAAUAAUAAUGGGAGACUUUAACACCCCACUGUCAACAUUAGACAGAUCAACGAGACAGAAGUUAACAAGGAUAUCCAGGAAUUGAACUCAGCUCUGCACCAAGUGUACCUAAUAGACAUCUACAGAACUCUCCACCCCAAAUCAACAGAAUAUACAUUCUUUUCAGCACCACACCACACCUAUUCCAAAAUUGACCACAUAGUUGGAAGUAAAGCACUCCUCAGCAAAUGUAAAAGAACAGAAAUUAUAACAAACUGUCUCUCAGACCACAGUGCAAUCAAACUAGAACUCAGGAUUAAGAAACUCACUCAAAACCGCUCAACUACAUGGAAACUGAACAACUGGCUCCUGAAAGACUACUGGGUACAUAACGAAAUGAAGGCAGAAAUAAAGAUGUUCUUUGAAACCAACGAGAACAAAGACAUAACAUACCAGAAUCUCUGGGACACAUUCAAAGCAGUGUGUAGAGGGAAAUUUAUAGCACUAAAUGCCCACAAGAGAAAGCAGGAAAGUUCUAAAAUUGACACCCUAACAUCACAAUGAAAAGAACUAGAGAAGCAAGAGCAAACACAUUCAAAAGCUAUCAGAAGGCAAGAAAUAACUAAGAUCAGAGCAGAACUGAAGGAAAUAGAGACACAAAAAACCCUUCAAAAAAUCAAUGAAUCCAGGAGCUGGUUUUUUGAAAAGAUCAACAAAAUUGAUAGACCGCUAGCAAGACUAAUAAAGAAGAAAAGAGAGAAGAAUCAAAUAGACGCAAUAAAAAAUGAUAAAGGGGAUAUCACCACCGAUCCCACAGAAAUACAAACUACCAUCAGAGAAUACUAUAAACACCUCUAUGCAAAUAAACUAGAAAAUCGAGAAGAAAUGGAUGAAUUCCUCGACACAUACACUCUCCCAAGACUAAACCAGGAAGAAGUUGAAUUUCUGAAUAGACCAAUAACAGGCUCUGAAAUUGAGGCAAUAAUUAAAUGCAGGAUGACGCUUCAAAGAGAAUAAAAUACCUAGGAAUCCAACUUACAAGGGAUGUGAAGGACCUCUUCAAGGAGAACUACAAACCACUGCUCAACAAAAUAAAAGAGGAUGCAAACAAAUGGAAGAACAUUCCAUGCUCAUGGAUAGGAAGAGUCAAUAUCGUGAAAAUGCCAUACUGCCCAAGGUAAUUUAUAGAUUCAAUGCCAUCCCCAUCAAGCUACCAAUGACUUUCUUCACAGAAUUGGAAAAAACUUCUUUAAAGUUCAUAUGGAACCAAAAAAGAGCCUGCAUGGCCAAGUCAAUCCUAAGCCAAAAGAACAAAGCUGGAGGCAUCACGCUACCUGACUUCAAACUAUACUACAAGGCUAUAGUAACCAAAACAGCAUGGUACUGGUACCAAAACAGAGAUAUAGACCAAUGGAACAGAACAGAGCCCUCAGAAAUAAUGCCACGUAUCUACAACCAUCUGAUCUUUGACAAACCUGAGAAAAACAAGCAAUGAGGAAAGGAUUCCCUAUUGAAUAAAUGGUGCUGGGAAAACUGGCUAGCCAUAUGCAGAAAGCUGAAACUGGAUCCCUUCCUUACACCUUAUACAAAAAUUAAUUCAAGAUGGAUGAAAGACUUAAAUGUUAGACCUAAAACCAUAAAAACCCUAGAAGAAAACCUAGGCAAUACCAUUCAGGACAUAGGCAUGGGCAAGGACUUCAUGUCUAAAACACCAAAAGCAAUGGCAACAAAAGCCAAAAUUGACAAAUGGGAUCUAAUUAAACUAAAGAGCUUCUGCACAGCAAAAGAAACUACCAUCAGAGUGAACAGGAAACCUACAGAAUGGGAGACAAUUUUCACAAUCUACUCAUCUGAUAAAGGGCUAAUAUCCAGAAUCUACAAGGAACUCCAACAAAUUUACAAGAAAAAAACAACCCCAUCAAAAAGUGGGCAAAGGAUAUGAACAGACACUUCUCAAAAGAAGACAUUUAUGCAGCCAAAAGACACAUGAAAAAAUGCUCAUCAUCACUGGCCAUCAGAGAAAUGCAAAUCAAAACCACAAUGAGAUACCAUCUCACACCAGUUAGAACGGCGAUCAUGAAAAAGUCAGGAAACAACAGGUGUUGGAGAGGAUGUGGAGAAAUAGGAACACUUUUACACUGUUGGUGGGACUGUAAACUAGUUCAACCAUUGUGGAAGUCAGUGUGGCGAUUCCUCAGGGAUCUAGAAGUAGAAAUACCAUUUGACCCAGCAAUCCCAUUACUGGGUAUAUAUAUACCCAAAGGAUUAUAUAAAUCAUGCUGCUAUAAAGACACAUGCACACAUAUGUUUAUUGCAGCACUAUUCACAAUAGCAAAGACUUGGAACCAAGCCAAAUGUCCAACAAUGAUAGACUGGAUUAAGAAAAUGUGGCACAUAUACACCAUGGAAUAUUAUGCAGCCAUAAAAAAUGAUGAGUUCAUGUCCUUUGUAGGGACAUGGAUGAAGCUGGAAACCAUCAUUCUCAGCAAACUAUCACAAGGACAAAAAACCAAACACCGCAUGUUCUCACUCAUAGGUGGGAACUGAACAAUGAGAACACAUGGACACAGGAAGGGGAACAUCACACACCGGGGCCUGUUGUGGGGUGGGGGGAGGUGGGAGGGAUA